AAAUUAGUUGUUAAUCAGUGGAAUAUAUAUUUUUGUUGUUGUUAUUCCCUACUUCCCAAUUAUAUAGACUUGUUUUGUUUUUCACACGGAUUAAGUAAUUAUUAUUUUUUUAAUGUCAUUAAAAAAUUACUUUUUGCUAGGAUCAUUCCUUGUUUACCCCUAUUUAAUUUUCAUUAUGUAGCAGUAAAUUAUUGUUAGAAUUAGUAAAAAAUUUGAAUAAUUUAAUUUGAAGAAGAAGAAAUGAGAGUUGUUUCAAGAGGUGAGAAAUCUGUCUAUUUGGAUGAUUUCAAGAAGUUGAUAUAUUAAAUGGCGAAAGUUGAAUAAAGGUAUAUCAGUAAAGGAACAAAACAAAAUAUUCUAAAUUAAAAAAUAGGCCUACAUAUUUGGGACAAGAGAGAAAGGAAACUCGGCCUAUAUAAUUAUGACGGAGUAUUUUGCAGAACACUUCAUUUUGUGAGUAAACAAAUAUGGUACUUGUAGUUACUAAUAACAAAA
rnacentral:lncRNA from 1 species